rnacentral:rRNA from 1 species
CCUACGGGGGGCUGCAGUGGGGAAUAUUGGACAAUGGGGGCAACCCUGAUCCAGCCAUGCCGCGUGUGUGAAGAAGGCCCUCGGGUUGUAAAGCACUUUCAGUGAGGAAGAACGCCUGGUGGUUAAUACCCAUCAGGAAAGACAUCACUCACAGAAGAAGCACCGGCUAACUCCGUGCCAACAGCCGCGGUAAUACGGAGGGUGCGAGCGUUAAUCGGAAUUACUGGGCGUAAAGCGCGCGUAGGUGGCUUGAUAAGCCGGUUGUGAAAGCCCCGGGCUCAACCUGGGAACGGCAUCCGGAACUGUCAAGCUAGAGUGCAGGAGAGGAAGGUAGAAUUCCCGGUGUAGCGGUGAAAUGCGUAGAGAUCGGGAGGAAUACCAGUGGCGAAGGCGGCCUUCUGGACUGACACUGACACUGAGGUGCGAAAGCGUGGGUAGCAAACAGGAUUAGAUACCCUGGUAGUC